GAGUAAUGUCUGGGAAACUGCCUGAUGGAGGGGGAUAACUACUGGAAACGGUGGCUAAUACCGCAUAACGUCGCAAGACCAAAGAGGGGGACCUUCGGGCCUCUUGCCAUCAGAUGUGCCCAGAUGGGAUUAGCUAGUUGGUGAGGUAACGGCUCACCAAGGCGACGAUCCCUAGCUGGUCUGAGAGGAUGACCAGCCACACUGGAACUGAGACACGGUCCAGACUCCUACGGGAGGCAGCAGUGGGGAAUAUUGCACAAUGGGCGCAAGCCUGAUGCAGCCAUGCCGCGUGUAUGAAGAAGGCCUUCGGGUUGUAAAGUACUUUCAGCGGGGAGGAAGGUGUUGCGGUUAAUAACCGCAGCAAUUGACGUUACCCGCAGAAGAAGCACCGGCUAACUCCGUGCCAGCAGCCGCGGUAAUACGGAGGGUGCAAGCGUUAAUCGGAAUUACUGGGCGUAAAGCGCACGCAGGCGGUCUGUCAAGUCGGAUGUGAAAUCCCCGGGCUCAACCUGGGAACUGCAUUCGAAACUGGCAGGCUUGAGUCUUGUAGAGGGGGGUAGAAUUCCAGGUGUAGCGGUGAAAUGCGUAGAGAUCUGGAGGAAUACCGGUGGCGAAGGCGGCCCCCUGGACAAAGACUGACGCUCAGGUGCGAAAGCGUGGGGAGCAAACAGGAUUAGAUACCCUGGUAGUCCACGCCGUAAACGAUGUCUACUUGGAGGUUGUGCCCUUGAGGCGUGGCUUCCGGAGCUAACGCGUUAAGUAGACCGCCUGGGGAGUACGGCCGCAAGGUUAAAACUCAAAUGAAUUGACGGGGGCCCGCACAAGCGGUGGAGCAUGUGGUUUAAUUCGAUGCAACGCGAAGAACCUUACCUGGUCUUGACAUCCACAGAACUUUCCAGAGAUGGAUUGGUGCCUUCGGGAACUGUGAGACAGGUGCUGCAUGGCUGUCGUCAGCUCGUGUUGUGAAAUGUUGGGUUAAGUCCCGCAACGAGCGCAACCCUUAUCCUUUGUUGCCAGCGGUCCGGCCGGGAACUCAAAGGAGACUGCCAGUGAUAAACUGGAGGAAGGUGGGGAUGACGUCAAGUCAUCAUGGCCCUUACGACCAGGGCUACACACGUGCUACAAUGGCGCAUACAAAGAGAAGCGACCUCGCGAGAGCAAGCGGACCUCAUAAAGUGCGUCGUAGUCCGGAUUGGAGUCUGCAACUCGACUCCAUGAAGUCGGAAUCGCUAGUAAUCGUGGAUCAGAAUGCCACGGUGAAUACGUUCCCGGGCCUUGUACACACCGCCCGUCACACCAUGGGAGUGGGUUGCAAAAGAAGUAGGUAGCUUAACCUUCGGGAGGGCGCUUACCACUUUGUGAUUCAUGACUGGGGUGAAGUCGUAACAAGGUAACCGUAGGGGAACCUGC
rnacentral:rRNA from 1 species